rnacentral:rRNA from 1 species
CAGCAGCCACGGUAAUACGUAGGGUGCAAGCGUUAAUCGGAAUUACUGGGCGUAAAGCGUGCGCAGGCGGUUAUAUAAGACAGAUGUGAAAUCCCCGGGCUCAACCUGGGAACUGCAUUUGUGACUGUAUAGCUAGAGUACGGCAGAGGGGGAUGGAAUUCCGCGUGUAGCAGUGAAAUGCGUAGAUAUGCGGAGGAACACCGAUGGCGAAGGCAAUCCCCUGGGCCUGUACUGACGCUCAUGCACGAAAGCGUGGGGAGCAAACAGGAUUAGAUACCUGCGUAGUCCCUGUCUCUUAUAC